AUCCUAAGACUUGCAAGACCAGGAGCCUUCAAAGCCCCCAGCAGGAGUUAAAACCUCCUAGUUUCUG
rnacentral:tRNA from 1 species